CACAGUACUGUCUGACUCUCGCGGAUUUUUAUGAUCCGUACAUUUCCUUUGAGGUAACCCGCUCCGCGUUACAUAGUUGCAAAAAAUGUUGAUUAAAAAAAUCUGAGGCGGUUUCAAGCUGCCCCAUGUCACCCCCUCUCCCACUUCUCCGGUCCCUCCUCCUCGCGGUGCGCCGGUUUCAAGGCGACCCUCCGGUAGGGGAAAGUAAAGCGCUACAGCGGAGACAAACCCGCUGCAGGAGAGGAGACAGUCGGUCCGUCCUCCGCUGCAGCUCCGGACGCAUGCUGCGGAGACAUGGGUCCGCUUGUGUGGCUGUCCGCACCGCCGAGCGGAGCAAAAACGAAGAGGCCGCUCCGCGACAGCCCUCACCCCGCUGACCUGUCUGUUCGCAGCGCCUGUCAUCCCGGACGGGACCCGGGGAGGGAAUUACCAGGCGGAGAUCAGAGUGAUGUCCCGUCCCGGGCCCGUCCGAGGGGACCAAGCCGGCCUUUGUUCUCCAAAUCGCUCCGACUGGGAAUUCAGACAAUGCCUUUAGAUUAGGCCCCCAUUGUUGCCGUCUUUUCACCCUGCGUGCAGGAGGCAGGUUUCAUCUUCUCGUUGUUGUUUUUCUUGUCAAAUGCCGCGGCGUUCGCGGGGGGUUAUCGCCCCUUUUGAGGUGGGUUUGUCCGCUGUAUGGGCAGUGGAGCGUCGUGGUGGCAUUCAUAAAUUUUUAUGACACAGAUUAUUUUGACAGAUAUUGUGAUUCACGAUUAUAUGGGAAUGAUCAUUUUUGCAUCACUAAUUGGAUUUUCACCCCCCCAAGAAAUCUAUUAAAAUCAUGAUCAUGUGA